GAUGAACGCUGGCGGCGUGCCUAAUACAUGCAAGUCGAGCGAACAGAUGAGGAGCUUGCUCCUCUGACGUUAGCGGCGGUCGGGUGAGUAACACGUGGAUAACCUACCUAUAAGACUGGGAUAACUUCGGGAAACCGGAGCUAAUACCGGAUAAUAUAUUGAACCGCAUGGUUCAAUAGUGAAAGACGGUUUUGCUGUCACUUAUAGAUGGAUCCGCGCCGCAUUAGCUAGUUGGUAAGGUAACGGCUUACCAAGGCAACGAUGCGUAGCCGACCUGAGAGGGUGAUCGGCCACACUGGAACUGAGACACGGUCCAGACUCCUACGGGAGGCAGCAGUAGGGAAUCUUCCGCAAUGGGCGAAAGCUUGACGGAGCAACGCCGCGUGAGUGAUGAAGGUCUUCGGAUCGUAAAACUCUGUUAUUAGGGAAGAACAAAUGUGUAAGUAACUAUGCACGUCUUGACGGUACCUAAUCAGAAAGCCACGGCUAACUACGUG
rnacentral:rRNA from 1 species